GAGAAGCACAGAUUGCCACAGAUUUGCUAAUUCUUUGUCUCAAGAACACGACUAAUAAAAUACUGUCAAGACUGAGAUGUUGCAGUGUAAGGAUCCCUGCUGUUCUCAUCCAUGGACAAUAGAUGUCUCUGAAACCUGACCCCCAACCAAAAUCUUGCAGAUCUCAGCGUCAGAGAUCCUCAGAAUUUGCCCUAAAUAUAACUGCUGGCUUCUUUGAGCUUAGAACAAACUUCAGAAAAAAAUUCUUGCAGUAACCCAAGGAAUUAAUUUGCCCAAAUUGACCAAUUUGUUUCAAACUAUAUGAGAAUAUCAUCUAGACUUCUUUUUGUUUACUUCCUAUUAACUCUUCUUACAUCCUUCUCUUAAACCUUAACUACAAAUGAUUACUUUAUGAUUUAAAUGGCUAGUUAAUUUACAACUUGUUGCUUAAUUACACACUGUGUUUUUGGUCUCUUUAAUCUUACUUACAUAUUUUUAAACCAACUGGAGAAAAAAGAAAAAAAACCCAAAACAUUUCAAUGUCUCACAUGGCAUUUCAGAAUAAGUAUGUAAAAAUAGUCAUCUUCAAAACCUAAAACCCAAAUAAACAGUCUUAUACUAAGAUUCAUUCCAACAAAUAGUCUAUUUGCUAAGAUUUAAUCUUCAUGCAUAUCAUAUACCUAUGUUACAUAUGUGCAAACUGGAAUAUCAGAUAUUUAUGUCACUUUGAAAGGGUUUCAGAAGUUCAUGAAAGUAUCCAACACAGAAAUGAAACUUUAGCCAGUAGAUUUUCUGUCAAGCUGAAAGUUGCUUGUAUAAUGCUAAUAAACGUUUCUGUCACCAAAGGCCUAUAUAAAGGUAUCUAUAGAAAUCCAAAUAUACAAACUUCUUUUAUUUUGUAUGAACAUUGUUUCAGUUAAUUAUAUGAUCACUUAGGUCUUAUUAAGUAAU